UUUAAAUUAAAUGCUUAUUUCAGUUCGUAUCAGCAGAGAAGCAUUUUAUUCUUAAGGAAGCAUACGUUGUUUCAAAAAGUAUUGAGUUUUUCAGCAGAUAGAAGCUUGUUCACGCAGCAGGAGGUUUUUGUACAGCCGCUCAAUGGGUUUGUGUCACUGUGGUACACGUUUGGUGGAGGAACAACACUCUUCAUUGACUCGGGUGUGGUGCGGCCCACCCUGACCGUCCUCCCCCCCUCCACAGAGGAGCUGCAGCAGGGCACAGCCACACUGGUGUGUCUGGCCAGUGGCGGCUUCCCCUCAGCCUGGAGUCUGAGCUGGAAGCUGCGGGGCAGCAGCACCUCCUCGGGGGUGUCACACAGCCAGGAGUUCCUGGGGGGGGACGGCCGCUACAGCUGGAGCAGCACCCUGAGCCUCACUGCUGACCAGUGGAGGGGGGCGGGCUCAGUGAGCUGUGAGGCGGCUCUGAAUGGACAGAGCCCUGUCACUCAAACCCUGGACCCUGACCGCUGCUCAGAGUAGAGCUUCAGCAACACUUCCUGUGUGGAAAUGAUGCAGCUUUUAUGGUGGAUGUGAUGGUUACACAUCUCCUCUGUUUCUCAGCUCUCCAGAGUUUGUUGCUUUCUGCACAUCUUCUGCAUAUUCUUCUUUUUGUUUACUACUUUUAAAGUUAAUCUGAAUUAAAGAUGGUUUUUCACUCCACGACAAAUUGGUGGUUCAUCAAAAAUGUGAUUACUAUAAAUAAAAAGGAUUAUAAUGAUUCAGUGUCUUUGUAUUUAUUUUAACACAUUCUGAUAUUUUCUAAAGAAUGAAAUACAUAUUUUGUUUCUGUUUGGACUGUUUCAUAAGGAACCAUAAUUAGAGCUACAAUUGAAAGAUUACUUUAUAUAUACAUCAGAAGUUAUCGUCCAACGAAAAUCAAACCUCCCCUAAUAAUUCCUAGAGACUGAAAAAAAUGAUAUUUUAGUUCAUAUGUCUGUGAGUCUGCUUCUGUUUUAUUGGAUUCAUUGGGUUCUGCUUGAUGACUCUCAUGUUGUGUUCACUGGACCAUGUUUUUCUCACCACAGUCUCUCCACCAACCCUCUGCACCUGCAG